UACGUAGGGGGCUAGCGUUGUCCGGAUUUAUUGGGCGUAAAGAGCGUGUAGGCGGCCAGGUAGGUCUGGUGUGAAAACUCGAGGCUUAACCUCGAGAUGUCAUCGGAAACCAUCUGGCUAGAGUCCGGAAGAGGAGAGUGGAAUUCCCGGUGUAGCGGUGAAAUGCGCAGAUAUCGGGAGGAACACCAAUGGCGAAGGCAGCUCGCUGGGACGUUACUGACGCUGAGACGCGAAAGCGUGGGGAGCAAACAGG
rnacentral:rRNA from 1 species